rnacentral:rRNA from 1 species
UACGUAGGGGGCAAGCGUUAUCCGGAUUUACUGGGUGUAAAGGGAGCGUAGACGGCCAGACAAGUCUGAAGUGGAAAUCCAGCGCUUAACGUUGGAAGUGCUUUGGAAACUGCCGGGCUAGAGUGCAGGAGGGGCAGGCGGAAUUCCUAGUGUAGCGGUGAAAUGCGUAGAUAUUAGGAGGAACACCAGUGGCGAAGGCGGCCUGCUGGACUGCAACUGACGUUGAGGCUCGAAGGCGUGGGGAGCAAACAGG